rnacentral:tmRNA from 1 species
GGGGACGUAAUGGUUUCGACGGGGAGGUUGAAGCUUACGGCGCGAGCCGUGUGGGAACACGUAAAAGCCCAAAAUUAAAAUAAACGCUAACAGAAAUUUAGCAUACGCUGCCUAAUGGCGGCUGUCCGCUCCUGAUUACCGCAGUCGGGAAUUCGGGCAUCAACGAUGCGGUGAACGUGAAUUUCAAAAGCUUUGAUGAAGUCACGCAUUAAUGAAGCUACCGAGCCUUUAAGUUUGUUUGUGGACUUUUUGGUGAGGGAAUGCUGACCACAAACUACGCUCGUAGUGCUGUUUUUGAAUACUUCUUCGGACACGGGUUCAACUCCCGUCGUCUCCACCA